UAUUUAUAUUAUUAAUAGGAAAGUCAUAAAUAUAUAAAUUAUAUUAUAUAAUUAAUAUAAUAAUAAAAUAAAUUAUAUAUUUUAUUUAUAAUAUUAUUUCUUUAUAAGAUAAAAUAUUAUCUGAUGAAUAAUUAGAUUGAAUAAUAUUUAUAAAGAAAUAUAUAUAAAAAGUCAUUAUAUAAAUUUAAUUAUAAUUUAAAUAAAUUUUAUAUAAAUUAAUAUAAUAUUAAUAAAGUAAUUAGUAUAAAUAAAUAAUAUGAAAAUAAAACUUAAUAAAUAUAUAAAUAUAGUCCAUAUAUAUAUAUUAAUAAAAAAAAGUAAUAUAUAUAUAUAUAUUGGAAUAGUUAUAUUAUUAUACAGAAAUAUGCUUAAUUAUAAUAUAAUAUCC
rnacentral:RNase_P_RNA from 2 species